UAGCUUUCUAGUGAGUUCGAGGAAUAGA
rnacentral:piRNA from 1 species